AAACCAUGUUGGGGGUAACGUCUGAAUAAGCUCUCAGAAUCUCUCCCAAGCAUCAUGUAUCGUUUCAUCUCCCAUCUGAACAAAGUGGGAAAUCUUCAAGAUGAUUUU